rnacentral:rRNA from 1 species
GAACGCUGGCGGCAUGCCUAACACAUGCAAGUCGAGCGCCCGUAGCAAUACGGGAGCGGCGCACGGGUGAGUAACGCGUGGGAACCUGCCAGAGGUCUGGGACAACCGCGGGAAACUGCGGCUGAUACCGGAUGAUUCCUGAGGGAGAAAGAUUUAACGGAGAUGGAUGAGCCCGCGUUGGAUUAGCUAGUUGGUGGGGUAAUGGCCUACCAAGGCGACGAUCCAUAGCUGGUCUGAGAGGAUGAUCAGCCACACUGGGACUGAGACACGGCCCAGACUCCUACGGGAGGCAGCAGUGGGGAAUAUUGGACAAUGGGCGAAAGCCUGAUCCAGCCAUGCCGCGUGAGUGAUGAAGGCCCUAGGGUUGUAAAGCUCUUUCAACGGUGAAGAUAAUGACGGUAACCGUAGAAGAAGCCCCGGCUAACUUCGUG